GACUCGGUGGCGACAACGGUAGCAGCGUCUGACUCCAGAUCAGAAGGUUGCGUGUUCGAAUCACGUCCGGGUCA
rnacentral:tRNA from 1 species